rnacentral:rRNA from 1 species
UACGGAGGGGGCUAGCGUUGUUCGGAAUUACUGGGCGUAAAGCGCACGUAGGCGGCUUUGUAAGUUAGAGGUGAAAGCCCAGGGCUUAACCCUGGAAUUGCCUUUAAGACUGCAUCGCUAGAAUCGUGGAGAGGUAAGUGGAAUUCCGAGUGUAGAGGUGAAAUUCGUAGAUAUUCGCAAGAACACCAGUGGCGAAGGCGGCUCACUGGCCCGAUACUGACGCUGAGGCACGAAAGCGUGGGGAGCAAACAGG